rnacentral:lncRNA from 1 species
GCUGGGAUUACAGGCGUGCACCAACGCUUGGCUAAUUUCUUUGUAUUUUUAGUAGAGAUGGGGUUUCACCAUGUUGGCCAGGCUGGUCUCGAACUCCUGACCUCAUGUGAUCCACCCACCUUGGCCUCCCAAAGUGCUGGGAUUACUGGCAUGAGUCAUCACACGUGGCCUAGAUUCAUCUAAAUUUUAAAACAUGGGAUGUUGCAAUCAGAUAGAAGAGCCAGAUCCAGUAUUGGCAGCUGUUACUGGUUUUGUGACCUGAAGAAGCUAAUCAAUGUUUCUAAGCCUCAAUUCCCUUCUCUGUAAAAGUGGGUGCUCACAGUGUUGUUGAGAAGAUUAAGCAGGGAAGAGUGUGUGAAACUACCUUACACAUAGCAAGGGCUCAAUAAAUGGUAGUAACUGUUCUUUGUUUUAAAAAAUUUUUGCUUAAUCCACUGCACAAUAAAGUGACCCAUGGAAGACCUUGGGAAAUGUUUACAGGUUUCAAAUUUGGUGUUUGCCAAGUAUUGCAAAACAUCUACCCCUCCUCACUACACACUUGUACUCCUGUUAAAAUACAUUACUGUGCUUGAAGGUGUCCAGUCUUCUAUUGUCUUGCAUAGUAGCACAGGCGAGCUUGGUGAAGGUAGGUGGAAUCAGGGUGUGUUUUCAGCAACAAGUGAGCAGAGGAGCUGAGCGGGUGGUUCUGAGCAAAGGGCCCGAGAAGUGACAGCAGAGGGGGAGUGAUGCCGAAACGAUAAUAUUAGAGUACACAGAGUAAUGCACAGCUGCCAGGUCACACAAUUUGAGAACUGCUUCAGAACAGUCAACUCUUCCACGCUGUUGCUAAGAGACGGGGGAGGUGGGGAGGCAUUCAUCCCUUGAACAAAAGGGAGGGGAAAAACACGAACAGACAUGAACUCUAAGUUUUGGAAAUGAUUUCAUGGACUCCUAUUUUCUGAACGUUAGUGUCUUUGGAGACAUUUUCAUGUGUUGAGUUCCUACUGUGUGCUAUGUGUGGCUCAAGGCACUGGGGAGAGAGCAGUGGACAAAGUCCCUGUUUUCAUGGAGCUUCUAUUGGAUUUGGUCUUCUCCUUUGAUGUUGAGGGGACUGACUGAGGUCCUCAGAAGGGAAGAACUUGCCUAAGAACUGAAGGCAACCUAUUGGCAAAGCUGAUAUUUGAAUCCAGGCCUCCUAAAUCCAAGAUCGAGACUUUUUCCAUAUACUACAUUUUACAAAAGAGAUUCAUCUGCAGCAGAUUUUAACGUUAGCUAGGACUUAAGUACCUCAGCUAGGUCAAGGUCCAUUCACUGGAGAUUUCUGCAAAUGAGUCCAAAAAAAUGAUGUUUUUUUAAUUUCAAGUGUCCCACGGAGAAGUUUCAUAUUUAUUCAGAGUCCUUGUCUUCCAUUAUUACACCUAGUUGAAUGAAACUGUAUAGUAUGAAAGGAGGUAGGGAGAAUCAAAACAGGAAAAAGAUUUGGGUAUCUCAUAACUGCUGAAAAUUAGCAAGACAUGGAAGUCAAGAGAUCUGGGUGCAGAAGCAGUUUCUACUUCUUCCUACCUGUGACCUUACCUCUUUAGGCCUGUUUUCCCACCUAUAACAUGAGGGAUUGCAUUAUAAUAAUCUCAGCAUUCUUCUCCAGCUCUAAAUUUAUGAUGAGUCACCCAACAGUGCCAUGCAGUGAAAAUAGCCCUAAGGCCCUAAGAUGUAAUUUCAGAGAGUGACUGUGGUUCAAAGAUGAAAAACUGAGUGUUAAUUGCCCCUUCUCCUGUGCUCCCAUGGUCCUAGGGCAGGGUGCUGCUGUAGUGCACAUUCUGCUGUGCAUGCUGAGAAGCUGGCUCCGGGUCUGCACCAGCAGAAAGGUCUGUGCUUAUGGAGGGUGAGCACUGUGUCCUGUGCACUGCCACGUGACUGUUUUUGUAGGCCUUUCUUCCCAUCAGACCAUGACUACUUUGAUGGCAGGGACCAUGUCUUAUUUAUCCUUCUGCCUUAGUGCCUGCCGCUGAGUAGUCUGUAGAUGUUUACAGAGUGAAGGAAUCAAUGAAUAAUGACUGAGUGAGAAAACUAUACUUUUUCAGGGUCAAUAAAGGAAAUAGCACAAGAGAAUCUCCCCUGAUAAACUUGUCAAAGUGAUCCCAGAAUUAAACAUUCAGGCUGGAGAGGUUAUUAGUGACUUGCUUAAGGCCACAUUGUUUAAAAGCAGCAAAGCUAGGACUCCUUUCCUCUCUCCUUUUCUUUCUUUUAUUCAGUACCCCAAAAGGGUGUUUGGCUCCAGCAUUGAACACAGGUGACUUUGAAUAACAAUUUAUCGGAACAAGAUGAAUUUUGAAGCAGGUAGGAGGGUGGCUUUUGAGUCUGACAGAUGUGGGUUCAAAUCCUCUGGGGCCGCUGACUAUCAGUGUGAUCUAUGGCAACUUAACCUCCCGGAAGCUCAGUUUCCUCGUGUGAAAAGUAGAAGUGAUAACAUCUCCACCAUCUCCCUUGCAGGCUGCUUCUGUGGGGUCAUUUGAAGGCUUAUGGUUAACCCAGAUAAGAGCUACAGCCUGAACUAAGACUGGGUCCUUGCAGCUCUCCAACACAUGAUUGCUGCCUGCCAGAACCACAGACCUUUCUCGGGACUGGCACGAAUUUCAGCCAACAGAGCCUGCACAGAAACACAUGGAAAAGGCUUCCGGUGGAGCUUACUGUGAGUCACAGACAGCCAUAGUUGCACUGGAUAGAGAGCUGGCAGAUGCCAUCAGCAUAUGCCCUUAGAAACUUUGGUUGUUUUGUGGCCUGGAGAAGAGCCCAGAAUUAUGGAGCCUAAGAGGCAGCACCUCUGCUUUCUGAAGAGGAAGCCGUAGUGCCGUGGACUUCACCACGUGCACAGUGGCUGCAUCCAGACCUGAAUGCCCCUCUCAUUACUCACCGGAAGUGAGCUUUGAACACUUCACACAGGAAGAUGACUCGCUCCUCCAACAAGAUGCAGAAAGUCUUUCCAAGCAAAUGACUUGAAGUGUUUAAAUAUUCUGUUUCUUAGUCUGCUUUUUUUCUGUUAAAUCCUUCAGCUUGAAUGAGCACCUUUAUCUGCAAAUUGAUCUGGUUGUAGCAUCCCUUGACCAUGUAGGUGGAUUUUUAAUUUGUACUUAAGGCCAGUUACAAUAUGCCAUCUGCAACUCUGCUCCCUUUAUGCUCCUGUAGCACUGCUAUAGAGAGGAAGGGUUUGUCGUAGCAAUGGGAAAUAAAACAAUGAGCAUACAACUUUUACAAUUGGAAAUGAAGAAGCAUAAAAAAAAAUAACGGCUGAUAUUUGUUAUCGGUCAGGCCUGAGUAUGAGAAUUAUGGGUCUCUAACAUGCCUGAAUUAGCAAGAGGAUGAAAUUGCAAGAAGGCAGGCUGGAGAACAACCUCUUGACCCCACUCAGCAUUUUGGAGCAUGGCAGCUUAACAGAUCCAACACAGAAAACAAGGGAAUGGGUUAGUCUGGUGCUCAUUCUCAAAGGUAGAUGUGUCUGAAGUGAGAACUCUUGUUUGCAUUCUCUGGAA